rnacentral:tRNA from 1 species
GGUCAAGCGGGAAAAAGCACCAGCUCUCUCGGUCAUGAUCGUUCCCUGACACGGAAGAGGUCACUGGUUCAAACCCAGUAGCGCCCACCA